rnacentral:rRNA from 1 species
AUGGAGGAUCAUAACUGGUCUUUCUUCAAGGUUGUGAUUCUGAGUAAUUUUAAGGAUGAGAUGGCCAUACCACCAAAGUUCGCCACUAAUUUCAGAGGUCGCAUAUCUGAUGAAGUCAAACUAGAAGUCCCGGAUGGUAAAAUUUAUAAUGUUCAGGUUGCCGAGGAACAGCAUAAGUUAGUUCUUCGAUCAGGGUGGGCGAACUUUGCCGGUGCUUAUGAACUUAAAGAGGGUGACCUCCUAGUCUUUACAUACAGUGGGGACUCUCACUUCAAAGUAAAAAUCUUUAAACCAAGUGGCUGCGAGAACGAGUUUUCAUGUGUUACCAUGAGCUGUGGUCCUAAUGUCCAAGAGAGGGACAUUUGUCAUGAUCAAUCACUACCCACCAAAAAGAGAUGCCGAAACGAUGGUUUGACUGACAGUUGGAAACUACGAAGAAGACUCCAACGGACUCACCUUCGCAGAAACCAGGUUCAGAAUUGA